AACGAACGCUGGCGGCAGGCCUAACACAUGCAAGUCGAACGAGAAAGCACCUUCGGGUGUAAGUAGAGUGGCGCACGGGUGAGUAACGCGUGGGAACCUACCCUGAGGUACGGAAUAACAGCUGGAAACGGCUGCUAAUACCGUAUGUGCCCUACGGGGGAAAGAUUUAUCGCCUUAGGAUGGGCCCGCGUCGGAUUAGCUAGUUGGUGAGGUAACGGCUCACCAAGGCUCCGAUCCGUAGCUGGUCUGAGAGGAUGAUCAGCCACACUGGAACUGAGACACGGUCCAGACUCCUACGGGAGGCAGCAGUGGGAAUAUUGCGCAAUGGGGGAAACCCUGACGCAGCCAUGCCGCGUGAGUGAAGAAGGUCUUCGGAUCGUAAAGCUCUUUCAACGGGGAAGAUGAUGACGGUACCCGUAGAAGAAGCCCCGGCUAACUUCGU
rnacentral:rRNA from 1 species